GACGAACGCUGGCGGCGUGCUUAACACAUGCAAGUCAGGGGGUGCAGCAAUGCAUCACCGGCGAACGGGUGCGUAACACGUGAGCGACCUACCCAGGGGAGGGGGAUAGCCGGCCCAACGGCCGGGUAAUACCGCAUACGCUUCUUUCGCUGCAUGGCGAGGGAAGGAAACCCUUCGGGACCCAUGGAGGGGCUCGCGGCCUAUCAGCUAGUUGGUGAGGUAACGGCUCACCAAGGCGAUGACGGGUAGCUGGUCUGAGAGGAUGGCCAGCCACAUUGGGACUGAGAUACGGCCCAGACUCCUACGGGAGGCAGCAGUGGGGAAUAUUGCGCAAUGGCCGAAAGGCUGACGCAGCGACGCCGCGUGGAGGAUGA
rnacentral:rRNA from 1 species